rnacentral:rRNA from 1 species
UCGAGGAUCUUCGGCAAUGGGCGCAAGCCUGACCGAGCGACGCCGCGUGCGCGAUGAAGGCCUUCGGGUUGUAAAGCGCUGUCGAGGGGAAGAAAAGCCGUAAGGUGUGAUCGACCCCUGGAGGAAGCACGGGCUAAGUUCGUGCCAGCAGCCGCGGUAAGACGAACCGUGCGAACGUUGUUCGGAAUCACUGGGCUUAAAGGGCGCGUAGGCGGGCACGCAAGUCAGGGGUGAAAUACUUCAGCUUAACUGGAGAACAGCUUUUGAUACUGCGUGUCUGGAGGGGGGUAGGGGCAUGUGGAACUUCCGGUGGAGCGGUGAAAUGCGUAGAUAUCGGAAGGAACGCCGGUGGCGAAAGCGACGUGCUGGACCCUUUCUGACGCUGAGGCGCGAAAGCCAGGGGAGCAAACGGGAUUAGAUACCCCCGUAGUCC